UUACAUUUCACUUGGUUACAAGUCUGACGGAGGUUUUUAAUCAUCUGGAGCCACACUGAAAACAGUUCUCCCUGAAAUCCUCUUUUAGCUGAUAAUCACUAACUUUGGGCAUGUCAGCUUCUAUGUCCACUGACUAUGGUCCUUUUUGAGAUGGCAUCUUUGAUUCAGCUAUUCAGAACUUAAUGAAGUUGGUGACUAUGACAAUGUGGAGAAAUCAUGUCAGAAAAUGUAGUUUGUACUGGGGCUGUCAAUGCUGUAAAGGAAGUCUGGGAAGAAAGAAUAAAAAAACACAAUGAAGACCUGAAGCGAGAGAAGGAAUUUCAACAGAAGCUAGUGCGGAUCUGGGAAGAGAGAGUAAGCUUAACUAAGCUAAGAGAAAAGGUCAUCAAGGAAGAUGGAAGAGUCAUUUUGAAGAUAGAAAAAGAGGAAUGGAAGACCCUUCCUUCUUCUCUACUGAAACUGAAUCAGCUACAGGAAUGGCAACUUCAUAGAACUGGUUUGUUGAAAAUCCCUGAAUUUAUUGGAAGAUUCCAAAACCUCAUUGUAUUAGAUUUAUCUCGAAACACAAUUUCAGAGAUACCUCGAGGAAUUGGACUGCUCACUAAACUUCAGGAACUAAUUCUUAGUUAUAACAAGAUCAAGACCGUCCCCAGAGAAUUAAGUCAUUGUGCCAGCUUGGAGAAACUAGAACUUGCUGUAAACAGAGACAUAUGUGAUCUUCCACAAGAGCUCAGCAAUUUGUUAAAGCUUACGCACCUUGAUUUGAGUAUGAACCACUUUACUACAAUCCCUCUUGCUGUGUUGAAUAUGCCUGCUCUUGAAUGGCUCGACAUGGGAAGCAACAAACUUGAACAACUUCCCGAUACUAUAGAAAGAAUGCAAAGCCUACAUACAUUAUGGCUGCAACGGAAUGAAAUAACAUGCUUGCCAGAAACAAUCAGCAAUAUGAAAAAUCUGGGUACUCUUGUUCUCAGCAACAAUAAACUGCAAGAUAUUCCAGUGUGCAUGGAAGAGAUGAACAAUCUGAGGGAAAUAAAUGUACACUUCUAUGGCAUCUAUAAAAAUACUGUUUUUUGGUGAACUGCUAGGUUUGUCAACUUCAGAGACAAUCCACUGAAAUUGGAAGUAACGCUUCCCCCCAGUGAAAGCCUGGAUGAAGAAGAGGAACGGGAAUUAUUUGGUCUUCAGUUUAUGCACGCAUAUAUACAGGAGUCACGGAUGAAAGCAGAUAACCAAGUCAACUGUUCCACUACUUUACCAAUCUCCAUAAAUACUGAUGGAUAAUUUAACUCAAGAUGCCCUGCUGAAGAGAAUUACUUUGGGAAUUUGGUGAAUUCGCUAAUGUUUGGACUUUUAAAGUAAAAAGAAAAACUAUUACCAAAGUUCAAUGAGGCCACAACAUUUUUAAAAAUUCAUAUUAUCUGCUAUGUAAAUUAUAUUUUCAUGAAUAUAAAAAUACAAUUAAAAAAUUCUUUUGGUGGAAGACAUAUGUUCAGAAUUUCUUUUCCAUUAAGGAGUUGUUUCUGGUGAUAAAGAAUGAUUUGGUAAAGCAGUUAACAAUACAUUUUCCAAAGACACCAGAGGAUCUGUAUAGUACUGUAAAGCAGGACUGAAUCCUUUCUGCUGUAAAUACUCAACUCGGCCUUGGUCAAUCAGCAAUUUACAAAGAUGUCCGAUUUUCUUCUUUUCUUCAACAGUAAGGAACCUAAAUCAAAUAAAAACAAAAUAUUGUUAAAAUCUGUAAAAGUUUAUAAAAAAAUUAUUUUAGUCACUUCUAUUUAUUGAUAAGUUCCUAAGUAACCUGCAGUAUACUAUGUGCUAUGUCCCAUGCUUCCAAGAUACAUUUUUAUUUAUGCCACAAUAAAAGUGUAUUUUAAUGUAUUCUAAAA